AUUGAACGCUGGCGGCAGGCCUAACACAUGCAAGUCGAGCGGAGCGGGGACGGGUGAGUAACACGUGGGUAACCUCCCAUCAGAGGGGAUAACACUUGGAAACAGGUGCUAAACCGAUACUGAUGGAUGGACCCGCGGUGCAUUAGCUAGUUGGUGAGGUAACGGCUCACCAAGGCCACGAUGCAUAGCCGACCUGAGAGGGUGAUCGGCCACACUGGGACUGAGACACGGCCCAGACUCCUACGGGAGGCAGCAGUAGGGAAUCUUCGGCAAUGGACGAAAGUCUGACCGAGCAACGCCGCGUGAGUGAAGAAGGUUUUCGGAUCGUAAAGCUCUGUUGUUAGAGAAGCGGUAACUAACCAGAAAGGGACGGCUAACUACGUGCCAGCAGCCGCGGUAAUUC
rnacentral:rRNA from 1 species